GUCGUGGUGGCUCAGUGGUUGAGUGUCAAUCUAUGAACCAGGAGGUCAGGGUUUGAUUCCCUGUCAGGGCA
rfam:Myotis lucifugus cont2.48882, whole genome shotgun sequence.